CCCCCCACCGCCAAGUAUCACUCUGGAACAGCACGAUAGUAGAGUGUAGGGAACACUUGGCCAAGAAGAGAGUCAGAAGACCUGAGCUAAAUUUCUACUAGGUUCAUACCUGUAAUCCAGGCCUCUGGCUUUUCUUGCUCACAGAAAAUAUUCUAAAGGGGCUCAUUCAAGACAGACUAACUCAACAUGAAGCCCUGCCCUUCAGAGUCUCCCCAUCUUCAACCAUUAGAAAGCAGGGAUUCUCCAUGAGCAAAAGCUUCCUGAGGAUGUACAAGGCAGUUAUCUCAGAAGGUAUGUAGAGACAUCACCCCGAGGGCCAGUCCAUUUACAGCAGGAAAGAACCGAGCACGGCUGCGACACCCAGCAUCUUUCACCCCUGCGGGUCAGACAAAUGAUUCUCUCGCACAGACCGACCAUAUGGAUUGAUUUAGCAGCAUUUCACCUGCUGCCCAGAGACAUGGCUUGAGUCAUCCCAUAUAAAUUACUGAACUCU
rnacentral:lncRNA from 1 species